AUCGUCAGCCCUUCUGAGCAUCAUCAGUUCGUUCAUUUCCCAUCCGCGUAAGGAUACAGUCCCAGUCUCUACGUUUAUGAAGUUAGGAUGAACACAGUUCUUUUUUACUCUUCCUUAUCCGGUGCUGCAAAGUUGGUGGUAGCUGUGGCAGUAUUUUUACUGACAUUCUAUGUUAUUUCUCAAGUAUUUGAAAUAAAAAUGGAUGCAAGUUUAGGAAAUCUAUUUGCAAGGUCAGCAUUGGAUGCAGUUGCACGUUCUACAAAACCUCCCAGGUAUAAAUGUGGGAUCUCAAAAGCUUGCCCUGAGAAGCAUUUUGCUUUUAAAAUGGCAAGUGGAGCAGCUAAUGUGGUAGGACCCAAAAUCUGCCUGGAAGACAAUGUUUUAAUGAGUGGUGUUAAGAAUAAUGUUGGAAGAGGGAUCAAUGUUGCCUUGGUAAAUGGAAAAACAGGAGAUCUAAUAGACACCAGAUAUUUUGACAUGUGGGGAGGAAAUGUGGCCCCAUUUAUUGAGUUUCUGAAGGCCAUACAAGAUGGAACAAUAGUCUUAAUGGGAACAUAUGAUGAUGGAGCAACCAAACUCAAUGAUGAGGCCCGGCAGCUCAUUGCUGAAUUGGGGAGUACAUCUAUUACUCAUCUUGGUUUUAGAGACAACUGGGUCUUCUGUGGUGGAAAAGGCAUUAAGACAAAAAGCCCUUUUGAACAGCACAUAAAGAACAAUAAGGACACAAACAAAUAUGAAGGAUGGCCUGAAGUUGUAGAAAUGGAAGGAUGCAUCCCCCAGAAGCAAGACUGAUGUGGAGAAAAUUGAAGGGACCAUACUUUCACUUGCUAAUGGGAAAGCCCUAACCGAAAAACUACAUAAUUCACACGUUGAAACCUAAUCCCCAACGUGAUGGUAUUUGGAGGUGGGGCCUUUUGGAGGUGAUUAAGUCAUGAGGGUGGAGCCCUCCUGAACGGGAUUAUUGCCCUUAUCAAGCAGACCCCAGAGAGCUCCCUGGCUGGGCUUCUCUGCCAUGUGAGGACGCAGUGAGAAGAUGGCCAUCUGCGAACCAGGAAGCAGGCCGUUUCCAGACACCGAGUCUGUUGACACCUUGAUCUUGGACUUCCCAGUCUCCAGAACUGUAAGAAAGAAAUGUGCUCUUUAUAAGCCAACCUGUCUGUGGUGUUUCGUUAUAGCAGCCCGAACAGACCAAGACACCAAGCCAGAAGGGAACCAUUAAAUGACUAGGGUAGUAAGAUCAUGAGAGAGGCUACAGCUAUUCACCAGAGGUUCUCCUUAACCUCCAGGCCCCUGGCUAUAAACUACCAACCCUUCCACUCUGACGCUGAACUCCCUUUCACGUGCAGAAUUCAAGCGUUUGUGUAUCUCCAUGCAGCUAGCAUUUCAAAUGAUCACAUGAUAUAGUUUCACUUGCUGGCCCCCCACAAGUAUGUGAAGUUAUGUGACUUCAGUCAGAGGCAGGGUGGGGCGGCCGUCAGGUCAGAGAAGAUACUGACACUUGGCUGACCCCCUUGCACCCCAGCAUUUGCUUCUUGCUCAGAGGGCCUGUGAAGGUUCCUACCUAUCAGCAGGGGUGCCUGGGCAAAAGAAGAAUUUUGAAUGAGAACUUUGAAACCUCUUUUUGGUCUCUGGGAUCAACACUUCCCUUAUAAGUCUGUUAUUUGAAAUGUAUUCAUUGGACUUUCAAACACAUUUUCAGCAAUGCGUUAUGUGUUCAUAUGCAGUCCUGCUUGUCUACCUUCCACGCAGGUGCUGUUGGUACUGCUUGGAUGUCACCUGAGCAGAUGAACAAACUCAGUACUGGUGCGAGGAAUUCUUUGCAGGGUCUUCGCCUUCUGCGUCACCAGUGGAAUGAGAUGGCGGACCUGGAAAUUGGCUUCUCUGCACCCCCGUGUAGAGGGAACCUGAUUAGAGAAGUACUGUGUGCUUCGUUUGACAAGAAUAGAAAUGAAUUUCAAAGAAAAUGUCUUGCAGGUCCAAGCUCGGAGCAGAGGACAAGUGAAAGCAAACGAUGCUGAGGGGUAGAAAUAUGUUCAGUCUUGGGGAAGACUGUGGUCUCAGUGGUCCCUGAGGGUUGUGAUUCUCAUGGGGAGGCCCUGGGUGGAAGAAGAAGAGUGGUUGGUGAGGAUAUCCUGAGGUGUGAGGAAUGAGCCUGUGUGCCCUUGACCAAGGGGAGUGCACCUUUCCCUGGUGACUUUCUGUUCUCCCUCAGGGAGCGAACCUGGGGUUUAAGAUCAGUAAAUGAGGUGACACUUCAACUCCUAUGGAAAUCUGAAACUUUUGGCCUGGGAAUGGGGUUGAGAGCCAAUUCUUGUGGAACUGUUAAAAUCCCAUUAUGAAGAAAAACAAAUCCCGUUAUGAAAAUACCCUGGAGAAGUUUCCCUACAGUUCUACAGCACUGGGAUUGUGGGAUGGGCACAGUUACAGGCACUGUGGCAAUUGAAAUUCUGACAUUGUAGUUAAUAUAUUAAGUCAAAAAAUUUUAGAGUGUAGUUUCUCAAGAAGUGAUUUGGGUGAAGAAAAAGUGUUUAAGCUAGCAGAGGGGAGAAAUUUUUCUCAGAAAUUUAUCUUUCAGCCUGUAAAAGUGUUAGGCCUGGACCCAUUAAAUAUCAGGCAUGUUAAAGGGGAUUUAUCACGUUUACUUUUUCAGUUUUCCCAUCUUGCUAUCGUACCAUAUGCUGUUUCUUGCCUUGCUUGCAUAGAGCCUUGUGUGGAGGAAAAAUGAGUUGUUUGCCAGGGAGUUUGAGAUCAAGCAAUUAAAAUGGGAAAGUCUUGUCUUGCCGAGUAUACAUGGUUCCUGGAGAUACGAUUUGAAUCUUUCUUCCUUCAAGUCAGCUAAGUGUAUUAUAGUGUUCUGGAUAACUAACUGCCUCCAAAUGACGGCCAAUCUUUUCAAAAGAAGACAUGGUUUUCCAGCAUGUUUUCACAGCACAGGAGCCGGAAACUCCGUGACACCGGCAGUCUAAUGACAUCAACUUGGCGACAGCCUGAAACCAACAGGAAUUGAGUGAAACAUCGUUCAUGAAGUGUUUUACUCAACAACAGAAGCACUACCAGCCUAAUCACUUAACUUUCCGGAUCUGUUUACUCCUGUAUAAAAAUGAUGGUUAUAUACUUCAAUUAAAAUUAAAUAAAAUAAUAAUAGUUUUAAAAAUACUUCAAUUAAAUAAUAGAAAAAUAAUAAUUUUUAAAAAUAAGGAUGAUUUUGCACGUAAAGGAUAUUUUAGAUCGCUUAGAAUUCAAAUGUUUUGUCCUUCUCUUCACUCUACAGAACAAACCUUUCUGAGUCUAACUUAAAGAAGCAGACCAAGCUAAUAACUUUAACAGAGAUUAGCUGAGAUAACAAAGGGAAGUUACGUUUAUUUCUAAUCUCUCAUUUAAUUUUGGGUGUGAGAGGAUGUUCAUUAGUGCCUCUAUGUUCCUGAUACCGUUCAUUUUAGCACCUUGCUACUCAGAGUGUGGUUCAUGGACCAAUAGCGCCAGCAUCCCUUGUGAGAAAUACAAACUCUCAGGUCCCUCACCAAACCUGUGGAAUCAAAAUCUGCAUUUUAAUAAGAUCCUCAGGUGACUUGUAGGCACACAGAAACAGCUGUGGAACUUUACAAAUAACCCUUGAGAUUCUUAUUUAAUUUGUCGAGGUGGGGUCCAGGCAAUGACUUCUACAAAGCUGCUCCGAUGAUUCCAAGGGCAUCCAAGGAUGAGAGCUACUGAACUGACAGUUCUCAGGUUUGAUCACUGCAAACGUCAGUUAUAUUCACAGGGGUUUGGGGGGAUAUGCUAUCCCCUGGUCACAGAACACAUGAGAAAUCCUGACUAAUCAACUUAAGUUGGUCAAAAGAAGGGGUUGGAGAGUGCAGUGGCUCCCAGCCAAUUCUUCCCCUCUUCUGGAAAAUUAAUUCAAAACAUAUGUCCUAUUCUUGAUAUAUCAGUAGCACCCUCCUAACAUAGAAAAGGUAUAAUAUUUAUAUGAUUUUUCAAUUCCAAGUGCUGAGUUACUCCGUUCAGAUGGAGGAAUUCAAUGAGAUGACAUACAUGGGUUAGAGUCCAUUGCCUGACACACAUUAAGGUCAAAAUAAAUGCCCCCUGUCCCUGACGAAGAAGGUACGGUAAGAGUUGAGAUAAAAUUUCAAAUGGGGCUAACCGUGCAAAAACAAUACAGAGAUUCCUAAAAUAAAAGUUUAUAGUUCUAAUUUCUUACAUACCGGCCAGUCAGCAUAACUUCCUUCAAUCCCCAGAGGAUGGCAGAGCAGAUUAAUAAAUCGUCAGGACUAACUGGAGAGUUGACGUUCUGUCAACAGGCUGGGUAAAAUAAAAAAUGGGUCUAGCCAUCCGAUAACUUGGAAAUUAUGUGUGUAAUCUCGCCAAAUAAAGGAAAAACCCCACCGCUUAAACUCCACUUACAGUUCUUAUCAAAACUAUAAAAUGACAGGGGUUUCUACUUUGUUAUUUUGUACCACAGUUGACAUUGACAUGUUUGUGGAAUGUUACAUUUCCUAACAAAUUAACUAAAGUUUCUGAACUAUCUAAUGAGACAGAGUAUUUCAAACAAUUUGUUAUAUUUGCAGCCUUGAAUGAGAGCAUAUGGUAUUGAUUUGUGUAAUAUUCAAUACUUUUUAUUAGUGUUUAAAAUAAUAAACCGAACAACAUUUAAACACUGUCUUUUAUAGGAUACGACACAUAUGCUUGUUUUGAACUCAUGAAACUAAGAAGCGAGUAGAUAUGUCUAUUUCUUAUUAUCUCAGGUAAAAUUUACCUUUCAAUUGAGAACAAUUUGGCACACAAGCUUAUUUGGUUAAAUUUAUGGCAUUUGAUAUUCACAAAGCCUUCAAUUCAAAAAGUCUCCAGGCAAAUAAAUGUUCAAAUUAAUGCAAUCUGCCUACUUUUGUUCAGAUAUUAAGUGCCCAAAGGAUAUGAGAAAAAGAGAGCUCAAUCAAUGCCAGGUAACAGCAAAACAAAUUGUCCAAAGAAAGCCAAAAAUCUAAGAAUGUGAGUUUAUGUGUUUAAACCUGAUCAACGCUCGUUACAGUCAUCACUUAGUGAUUUAGAGCUGCCUCUCGCUCAGAUUCUUGACUGAGGAGCUGCCUUUUCCUUUUAUUAACCAGUUCAGACAUUACCUAUGGUGUUGCCAAUUUGCAAAGCAUGGAGGACAGAAUAGAUGCUCACCAAAUACUCAUUGAAUGGUUAGUCUAGCUCACUUGAACAGUUUUAACUCAUCCUCUGUUGGUAAUCUGAAUCAAGAGGAAGUAAUAAAGACCACUUUCUUCAACAAAAGAGUCACUGCCAGGAAGUCAGUGAUAUUGGGAGACCCUGAUCUGGCUGGGUUUUCCUCCAAUUCCUCAGCCCACAACAGUGUUAGGACACAAGAGUGACACACUACUGCACAGGUGUGAAGGAUAAAAGGGAAGACUGAUCUUGAAUCCAGGGAUACCACCUGCUGAAUUUGUAACCGAAUUUUGGGGAGAGUUUCCUGCCAUAGAAAACUAGAAACUUUUAAAUACGUGGAGUUAACUAAACUUUCUAGAGAUAUUUUUAAGGAAUUUAAUUCUGUUAUCUUUCAAUUCCAUUACCUUUUUGUCUUUAACGAUAAGUAUAAGAAAAGAAAUAGUAUUUUUAUUAUAUAUGUGAAUAUUAUUCAUAUUGAUAUUCUAGGAUAGAAAGACAAAGAACUUGACAUGCAAUUUAAAUGAUUAUACCCUUGUAAGACUCCAAGGAAGAAACUUGGACAAAUAGGGAUAAAAUAAAGCAAUGCAACCACCACUAGGAGAAUGUGAUGAAAUGCAGAGUUCAAGGGCAGAUAACAUGUACACACACACACACACACACACACACACACACACAGAGAAUUUAACUCUCAGAGCACAUUUUCAUAAAUUAUUUUACUUGAUUUAGUUUUAUAGGAAGAAAUGCCUUGCAUAUAGUAGGUAGUUCAUGAACAUGUACUUGCUUAUUAUUCCAAUUUGACAGAAAAAUAAAUAGCCUGGUUGAGACACUUGUCUUCCAUAGGAUAGAUGGUAAUAUAUGAUAUAAAGUCUUUAUAUGCAGCAGGAUAAUUUUGGUAGAACAGAGAAAAAUGAAAGUGAAAGUACAAAUAUAUUUAAGAAAAUUGCAUGAACACUCCAAAAAUAUAUACUCUGGAGCUUUUCAGCUAGGAUUCUUAAUUGAUGUCAAAUAGCCAUUCUGAGAUACAGUGAUACAUAGUGAUUUUCUAACAGGAGAAGUAAGAGAAUAGCAAACGAAUGAGUUGUGUGUGGUUAUGAGAAAAUUCCUUUCUCUACUUCGCUGAGUUGUUAAGGUUUAUAACGAUAUUAACAGAGGAAUGUUUUGUUAACUAUUGCAAACAGAUGUGCACAUUUUGGUGGAAUAUUUUUAAACUAUGGGAGAGCAAUUGGGAGCAUAGCAUCUAAUCUACUGGGCUCCCUAUGUUAAGUUUUGGUUUGAUAAAUUUCUGAUGAAGUGAAAUAGGAAAGAUGUAUCAUUAACACUUAAUGUAAAACUAGAAACUGUUUGAGAAGUGGUCUAAGGAGUUAGUUUUGACUCAGAGGUAACACAGCCGGAGGUGAUUUUUUUU